GCGCUGUCCGAGCGCGGCUAGAGCGGCCUGUGAGCCGAGGGCUAGGCCCGCUGGCGGCCGGGAGCCUCGCUGGUGACAGUUCGGCCGGCCGUUGGCGGGGCUGAGUCAGCCACAGCGUGCUCGGUCCGGAUUCGUGGAGCGCCCUCGGGGUGACGGCAUAGGGGCGUCCUGGCCCUGUCGGCGUGGUGCUGCCUGGCGGGGACUAGGCCCUCGCGCGCACCUGCGGUGAUUUUCCGGCUCUGGGGAAGCUGGGCGAAUGGCGGCCAGUCAGGCUUACUGAGUCGCGCGGGAAGGUCACCUCGGCCUGGGAAUCCAGGGCAGGUACUGACACUCGUGCUCUCCUCUCAAAUCACCAAAUUCUUGCAAGAGCCCAGGAAAGAGGAGAAAAUUUCCAGUUUGGGAAAGCUGGUGAAGACUGUAAUGUUCCAGCUCGAUCCAUCCCAUAUGGGCCAACCACGCUUUUUUCUUGGAGGAAGGCUGCAGAUUGCAUUUCUUGGUGUUUGGUUCCAGCCAGCAGGCUUCUCUUCUGCAUUCUGGCUCUUUCAACAGCCACAGGGAGGAGCCACAUAUCUCCGGCCUUAAUAAAAGGGGUAUCUUCCAGGUGGAAGCAAGAGGACAUAAUUCCCGUGCCAUGAAUGCUUGUCACUGGAUAAAGCCCAAAUCUCCAUAAUGUGUUUUGUGUUUGGCCUUCUGUGUUUUGUGACUAUGGAUUUUUGAUAUUUUUGAAUCCCUUGUAAGCAGGCAAUUUCCAGAUGUAAACUAUCCUUAAAUUAUAGUUUUCUCCAAGCAUGCUGCAGACAUACCUGUUCCUCUCUGGUGUUGAUGAAAACGAGAUGUGAAGACUUGUCUUCACAGAAAAGUUUUGCAUCCUCAAAAAUUUCCUUCUCCACCGAAAAAUAGUAGCAUUUGUCUGUGAAGUUCUUCCAGUGAGGCGGGCAGCCUAGGGAUGCAAAUGCUUCAAAUAUGAAUUAAAAGACAAACGCACACAUGAAGCCCUAUGCUUUUCUUCAGUUAUUCUGUUUAAGAGGCCAUGGCUUUGGCCUUGCUCCCUCGAAGGCCAGGGGCACUUCCCGUGUCCGUGUGUGAGCCUGCGACUGCCCGUGACGGACGCACUGGGAGCCAGCGUGGUGAGUCUGGGGGGCAGGCUGCAGAGCCCACAGUAGUUAAAACUACACAGCCUGGAAAAUUAGUGGCGCUGGGCCUCAGUUCCCCUGUGUCUGGAUUAGUCUUUAACAAUGACAGAAGUUAACAGAAACAACCACCAAAGGCAGAGCAGAUACAGAUGUUCCACAUCAGCCUGGAGUCAUCUGGAACCAAUCAAUGACUGGAUGGGAGAACCCAGAACCCAAACUGAGCUUGUGGGAUAAUGGAGAUGACCAGAGUCGUGCUUCAGGAAAUCAAGUGGAAUUGGGUGUGAGUCAAAGGAGAGAAAAAUAGGCUUGGUUGCUAACCAAACACUGAGGGUUUUUCAAGUCAUUAAAAUUUAAUAAUCGAAUUUAGUAAUUAUAAAAAAAAAAUAGAGGCACUGUUAAGACUCUCAAAAACAAUGAAAUCUGGGCUUUAGUAACAGAAAGUUCCAUCUACAUGGUUACAGAGGGGCCUUUAUCCCCCGGUGAAGGGCAUAAAAUGAGGACAAGACUGGUUGGGGGUAGCCGGUCUUAGACUUUCAUGAAGGACAUGUCUGGGGAUGCAUCUGUCCCCAAGGGCCUGACUUAGCUAAAUAAACAAGUGCUGGGGAGCGUGAUGGCGUUUAGAGAGAAACACGUGUGCCUGAGUGACACCGCCUGGCACAGCAGCCUGUGAGCGGCAGGGCCACGUGCCUGCCCACAUGGUGCCUUCAACGCCAAGUAAAGUGGGGCGGGGGCUGUGGGGGGGCUGUGGGUGGCUGGCCACGGGCGCACACAAUGCCCCUGACCCCAGGGGUGAGGGAAGUCUCUUGCUUACCGUUGGCCUCGGGUGCGGAGGUCGGCUCGUCCUGCAGGGCCAGGGGCAUCGCUGCCCCUGAGGGGCCUGAGGGGCCUGGGGGCCCAGGGGGUCCCUUUGGGCCCGGCAUGCCCGGCACCCCAGGCAGGCCUGGCAGCCCCCGUGGUCCAGGCACUCCUGGCUCUCCCACGGUGCCCUGCAGUCCCUGGAAGCCAGGAGGGCCCUGAGGGCCGGGGAGGCCGUCCUUGCCGGGGGGCCCGGGGGGCCCUGGGUCUCCACUGGGGCCCUGGGGCCCAGGCUUCCCAGGGGAUCCACGGGAGCCUUUGGGGCCCUGCAAGCCUUUGGAGCCUUUGCCGCCACGUUCUCCGGGGGGGCCGACUGGCCCAAUUGGGCCCCUCUCUCCAGCCGGGCCAGGAGGACCAGGCUCCCCCUUCUCUCCUUUCUGUCCUUUGUUGCCAGUGGGACCAGGUGGUCCCUGCUGUCCUCUGUCACCUUUUGGACCCCUGGGGCCAGGAGGACCUAAAAUAUAAGAAAAUGUAAAUGGCAUGAAUGUGAAAUCCAUUGUGAAUGGCAGUAAAGAAUUUAUCUUCUUAUAGAAUCUCCAAUAAAAAAAAAAUUCUAGACAUACAAAAUAUAUA